GUGGGGAAUAUUGGACAAUGGGCGAAAGCCUGAUCCAGCCAUGCCGCGUGUGUGAAGAAGGUCUUCGGAUUGUAAAGCACUUUAAGUUGGGAGGAAGGGCAGUAAGUUAAUACCUUGCUGUUUUGACGUUACCGACAGAAUAAGCACCGGCUAACUUCGUGCCAGCAGCCGCGGUAAUACGAAGGGUGCAAGCGUUAAUCGGAAUUACUGGGCGUAAAGCGCGCGUAGGUGGUUUUGUAAGUUGGAGGUGAAAUCCCCGGGCUCAACGUGGGAACUGCCUCCAAAACUGCAUGGCUAGAGGACGGUAGAGGGUAGUGGAAUUUCCUGUGUAGCGGUGAAAUGCGUAGAUAUAGGAAGGAACACCAGUGGCGAAGGCGACUACCUGGACUGAUACUGACACUGAGGUGCGAAAGCGUGGGGAGCAAACAGGAUUAGAUACCCCUGUAGUCC
rnacentral:rRNA from 1 species